GUGGGCGUCUUCUAAUGGUUAGGAAAUCUCGUUGUGGUCCCGGCUUGCCCUCCCUCCCAAUUCCGUGAAAAUGCCGGUUCGAUUCCGGCCGCCCACA